CCUACGGGAGGCAGCAGUGAGGAAUAUUGGUCAAUGGGCGGAAGCCUGAACCAGCCAAGUAGCGUGCGGGAUGAAGGCCCUACGGGUCGUAAACCGCUGUUGCACGGGGAUAACACCCGCCACGUGUGGAGGUCUGCAGGUACCGUGCGAAUAAGGGCCGGCUAAUUCCGUGCCAGCAGCCGCGGUAAUACGGAAGGCCCGAGCGUUAUACGGAUUACUUGGGCUUAAAGGGAGCGUGGGCGGGCGUUCAAGGCAGCUGUAAAAUCGCGCGGCUCAACCGCGCCCCGCAGUUGAAACUGGACGCCUUGAGUUCACAACAGGCAGGCGGCCUUCGUUGUGUAGCGG
rnacentral:rRNA from 1 species